rnacentral:rRNA from 1 species
GACGAACGCUGGCGGCGUGCUUAACACAUGCAAGUCGAACGGAAGGGCCUGCUUUCCCUUGUGGAUUGCGGGUACUCGAGUGGCGAACGGGUGAGUAACACGUGAGGGAUCUGCCCCCAACUUGGGUAUAAGCCUGGGAAACUGGGUCUAAUUCCCGAUAGGACUGCAGGGUGGUGCCUGUGGUGGAAAACGAUUUUCUAGUGGUUGGGGAUGAGCUCGCGGCCUAUCAGCUUGUUGGUGGGGUAAUGGCCUACCAAGGCGGCGACGGGUAGCCGGCCUGAGAGGGUGGACGGCCACAUUGGGACUGAGAGACGGCCCAGACUCCUACGGGAGGCAGCAGUGGGGAAUAUUGCACACUGGGCGGAAGCCUGAUGCAGCGACGCCGCGUGGGGGAUGACGGCCUUCGGGUUGUAAACUCCUUUCGACCGCGAGGAAGCCACCUGGCUGGAAGGGUGGUGACGGUAGUGGUAGAAGAAGCACCGGCUAACUACGUG